GCUUUGGGAAGUGGGAAUCGGGAGGCGCCCCGCAGGCCGGGCCGGUUAGGACAACCCCCCAAGAGGACUGCGACACCGGGAGGGGGACGCCUCCAGACAGCACCGCGGCGGCCCUUCCCGCCUCCCGGGGCUGCAGGGUCCCUUGGCGUCGUCACACCCCGUUCCCGGUUCUCCCUGGGGGCCUUCGAGCGAGGUAGCUCGGCCCGCAGCUGCUCCCGCCCCGGUCGGCCUCCGCCCACAAAGACGGCUUUAGCGGAGGAAAGGGCGACCGGUGACUAGGGCGCAGAAAGCCUCUAGUCACCGGUGCAAAAAGCCAUCGCAGGAGUGCACCAAGACAACCGGCCAUGACGGGAAAGCGGAAAACGGAACCAGCCUACAAACUACAACUCCCAUCAUGCACGGAGGUUCAUGGGUGGCAGAAAGUGAGGAAGGGACCCGGAGCCGCGAAUGAGCUUUAGCGCCGGAGGAACGGCCAUCGAGCGCUUGUUUCUUGCCCCACCGCCAGGCGGCGUAAGCUGCCCGAGGUCGGCUUGCUCGGUGCGGAGAAGCGCCGCCACCCGGCGCGGAGGGCGUGCUCGAGGCCCGAGUGUGUAGGCGUGUCUGUGGCUCCGGUGGCAACGGCAGCAGCAGUGCUUCUCCCCGUCUCCUUUUAUGCCUGUGGGGAAGGGCGUCCCGUUACUCUCUGCUCCAAGAGGGCGGCAGCUUUGGGGAUAGGGUACCAAGAAGCAGAAGAGCGACGAGGUUCCGCUCGUAGCCGCCUGCUUUUCCACUUGGGCUCUCUCCUCGAGGAGCUAGAGAUGGAUCCUUGGGAAAGAUGGGACCAUCACUGCCCGGGUCAUCGGCGUGCUACCUUGGAUAUUGGCAUAUCUGAAGAAUUAGAUGUCGCCUCUGAAAUGUUGAGGGUGGAGUGAAACAGCGUCAUCCCAUACACCCUCUCUAUUCCAUCCUGUUGUUUUUUGCUUCAGAGAUCAAGAUGUAUUUCCUGGAUGUGUUGAAUUUAAAUGAUGGUGCAAUUUAAACAAUCGUCUAGGAUUUGUAUUUCUCUUUGGGAGAUUGAAGUCAUUAAUAUUUUAUUCCUAGGUACACCGUUAUGUUUUGAGAUUUCAAAUCAUAUAUAUGUAUACUCACAUAUAAAUAUAGGUACACACAUAUAUGCUUUAUUAAGUUCUGCAGAUUCAGGUCUAAACUCACAUUGUCCUUGAAUUUCACACCAUCUAAAUUUUCUUUAAGCACUUACUACCCUUAAGUCUUUUAAUUAGUCUGACAGAUAGAGAUAUGUGAAAAACGUUUUUCAUAAACCUCCAAAUACUCUCAGUGUGGGAAAUGUUUUCCAAAGUCAUUCCCAAGUGAUGACAUCAGUAGCCUAAAUAAGUAAAGCGCUAAUGUGGUGCAUUUUAAUUUUUUGUUUAUUUGCAGUAUGAUUCCCCCAGGAAUGGUUUUGUUUCUUUUAGGCCCUGGAUUUGUGGAUUUGGACUAAUGUGCAUGAUUGCAUAAAAACAUUAGUAAUAACAUAUUCCAGACACCAACUGUUUUGUUUUUUUUUUUUUUUAAUGGAGCAUGUUAUAGCAUGAAAUUAUGUUGCAUUGGCCAUCUUGUCAAAACUUUAAAAAAUGUGCUUUGGAGAUGACUAUAAUAUUUAAUAUACUACUCCUGGCUUCAGAUGUCAACCCUUAAGUACAGGUAGUUCCAUAUCAGCAAAAUCCUCCUACCAGGUCCCUGUAGUUACAGGUACAGAAACUGACAGGUCUUCAACCUGAUCUUGGCUCCUACAUCAUUGCUGGAAUUGAAGAAAGGGUAGGUGACUGAUUUCUUUCUGUCUUAGACCACAGCAGCAGGCAGCCUCAGGUCCAGAUUUUUGAAACUUUGUCUGAACAAACCUUUUUCAGGAGAUAUAAUUUUCAUUCUUUUGAUGGCCUUCCAAUAAGUUAUUAGCAUGAAAUAAUUUUCUGCAAAAUUGCCAAUCUUUCCCUAAUAAUUUCCUACUUUUAGCAUCUUUAUUUUGUUAAUAAUGAUGACAUAUCCUCCCAGUCACUGAAACUUGAAAGCUUAGAGCCAUUUUUCACUCUUCCUUUUAAUUCACUUCUAUUUAUUUUCUGCAUUCUAUUUAUUGCUGCAAUUUCCUUAAUAUCAAUUCCUUCCUUCUCUAAUUCAGACCCUCAUCAUCACCUCUUUAAACUAUUGUAAUAAUUAAUCUUAACAGUUCUAGAUUCUCCAUGCUAUUCAACCCUCAUCUUGAGGCCCAAGUAAUUAAUUAGCCUAAAGUCAC